GCCAGAGUGGCGAAAUUGGUAGACGCAGGGGAUUCAAAAUCCCCCGGUGGCAACACUGUGCCGGUUCGAGUCCGGCCUCUGGUACCA
rnacentral:tRNA from 1 species